UACGAAGGGGGCUAGCGUUGUUCGGAAUUACUGGGCGUAAAGCGCACGUAGGCGGGUUGUUAAGUCAGGGGUGAAAUCCUGGAGCUCAACUCCAGAACUGCCUUUGAUACUGGCAACCUAGAGACUGGAAGAGGUUAGUGGAAUUCCCAGUGUAGAGGUGAAAUUUGUAGAUAUUGGGAAGAACACCGGUGGCGAAGGCGGCGACCUGGGUAGAUACUGACGCUGAGGUGCGAAAGCGUGGGGAGCAAACAGG
rnacentral:rRNA from 1 species